rnacentral:rRNA from 1 species
ACGGUACCUAACCAGAAAGCCACGGCUAACUACGUGCCAGCAGCCGCGGUAAUACGUAGGUGGCAAGCGUUGCCCGGAAUUAUUGGGCGUAAAGGGCUCGCAGGCGGUUUCUUAAGUCUGAUGUGAAAGCCCCCGGCUCAACCGGGGAGGGUCAUUGGAAACUGGGGAACUUGAGUGCAGAAGAGGAGAGUGGAAUUCCACGUGUAGCGGUGAAAUGCGUAGAGAUGUGGAGGAACACCAGUGGCGAAGGCGACUCUCUGGUCUGUAACUGACGCUGAGGAGCGAAAGCGUGGGGAGCGAACAGGAUUAGAUACCCUGGUAGUCCACGCCGUAAACGAUGAGUGCUAAGUGUUAGGGGGUUUCCGCCCCUUAGUGCUGCAGCUAACGCAUUAAGCACUCCGCCUGGGGAGUACGGUCGCAAGACUGAAACUCAAAGGAAUUGACGGGGGGCCCGCACAAGCGGUGGAGCAUGUGGUUUAAUUCGAAGCAACGCGAAGAACCUUACCAGGUCUUGACAUCCUCUGACAAUCCUAGAGAUAGGACGUCCCCUUCGG